rnacentral:rRNA from 1 species
UACAGAGGGGGCAAGCGUUGUCCGGACUUACUGGGCGUACAGCGCGCGCAGGCGGUGCCAUAUGUGCCCGGUGACAUCUUCGUGCUCAACACGAAGCGGCCCGGGUAGACAGUGGCGCUGGAGGCAGGGAGAGGGAUGUGGAAUACCCGGUGGAGCGGUGAAAUGCGUAGAGAUCGGGUGGAACACCAGCGGCGAAGGCGGCAUCCUGGCCCUGAACUGACGCUGAGGCGCGAUAGCGUGGGGAGCAAACGGG